UACAGAGGUCCCAAGCGUUGUUCGGAUUCACUGGGCGUAAAGGGUGCGUAGGUGGCGAAGUAAGUCGGAUGUGAAAUCUCCGAGCUCAACUCGGAAACUGCAUUGGAAACUACUUUGCUUGAGGGUCGGAGGGGGGACUGGAAUUCUCGGUGUAGCAGUGAAAUGCGUAGAUAUCGAGAGGAACACCGGUGGCGAAGGCGAGUCCCUGGACGACUCCUGACACUGAGGCACGAAAGCUAGGGGAGCAAACAGG
rnacentral:rRNA from 1 species